rnacentral:rRNA from 1 species
UGCGCAGGCGGAUCUGUAAGUGCCUUGUGAAAUCCCACGACUCAACCGUGGAAUUGUUGGGCAUACUGCAGAUCUUGAGACUGGUAGGGGCCGUCGGAACGAUAGGUGGAGCGGUGAAAUGCGUAGAUAUCUAUCGGAACGCCAAAAGUGAAGACAGGCGGCUGGGCCAGUUCUGACGCUCAUGCACGAAAGCGUGGGGAGCAAACAGGAUUAGAUACCCUGGUAGUCC